CCAAUAGCGUAUAUUAAAGUUGUUGCAGUUAAAAAGCUCGUAGUUGAAUUUCGGGAUCAGUUGGUCGGUCGUGCCACUGGUAUGUACUGGCCCUACUGGUUCCUCCUUCUUGAAGAACUGUAAUGCCAUUAAUUUGGUGUUGCAGGGAAACAGGACUGUUACUUUGAAAAAAUUAGAGUGCUUAAAGCAGGCAAACGCUUGAAUACAUUAGCAUGGAAUAAUGAAAUAGGACGAUCGAUCCUAUUUUGUUGGUUUCUAGGAUUGACGUAAUGAUUAAUAGGGAUAGUUGGGGGCAUUAGUAUUCAAUUGUCAGAGGUGAAAUUCUUUGAUUUAUUGAAGACUAACUACUGCGAAAGCAUUUGCCAAGGAUGUUUUCAUUAAUCAAGAACGAAAGUUAGGGGAUCGAAGACGAUCAGAUACCGUCGUAGUCUUAACCAUAAACUAUGCCGACUAGGGAUCGGAUGAUGUUAAUUUUUUAAUGACUCAUUCGGCGCCUUACG
rnacentral:rRNA from 1 species